AGAGUUUGAUCAUGGCUCAGAUUGAACGCUGGCGGCAGGCUUAACACAUGCAAGUCGAGCGGUAACAGAGAUAGCCUGCUAUCUGCUGACGAGCGGCGGACGGGUGAGUAACGCGUAGGAAACUACCCGGUAGUGGGGGACAACCAUUGGAAACGAUGGCUAAUACCGCAUACGCUCUACGGAGGAAAGGGGGCUUCGGCUCUCGCUAUCGGAUGUGCCUGCGUGAGAUUAGCUAGUUGGUGGGGUAAAGGCCUACCAAGGCGACGAUCUCUAGCUGGUCUGAGAGGAUGAUCAGCCACACUGGGACUGAGACACGGCCCAGACUCCUACGGGAGGCAGCAGUGGGGAAUAUUGGAAUGGGCGCAAGCCUGAUCCAGCCAUGCCGCGUGUGUGAAGAAGGCUUUCGGGUUGUAAAGCACUUUCAUCGUGAGGAAAGGGAGUACUUAAUACCUGCUAUCUGUGACGUUAACUGAAGAAGAAGCACCGGCUAACUCCGUGCCAGCAGCCGGGUAAUACCGAGGGUGCAAGCGUUAAUCGGAAUUACUGGGCGUAAAGCGCGCGUA
rnacentral:rRNA from 1 species